CUCACCUUUCUUUCAGACUGUAUCAGUUCUGCAUCCCAUUUGUGUCCAAGAUGGAUUCUCUUCUCUCCAUUGUCUUACUGAUGCAUCAUCUCUGACCUGAACCAUGGGAGAAGCCUCCAACAGGUCUCCCUACCUCAGAUACUAGAGGGAUCUUCAGAAUGCACACGGACUGUCCUCCUCCUGAAGCCCGUGUUCAGUCCCGUUGGCUAUAGCAAAAGAAUCAGAAGCUGAAGGAGAACUUUGAAAGCCACACAAGAACAACGGGCUUCCCAGUCGUGGGUGACUCUCAAAGCAUUAGGCUCCGUGGAAGAAGCCAAGCACACAAGGAGCAAAGGUUUGGGAGCCAUCUGUCUUUGCCAGUCUGGACGGGCCUGCUGAUGGACAGCCCUCAGCCCAGCCACGGGAGCACAGCAGUAAAAGGACUUUGGAAAGUUUUGCCAACCUCGGGAAGCUGACUGAAUGCAUCGCCCCUGAAGCUGUGGUUUGGCUCAGGUAGCAGACAGCUCUCCUGAAUUCGGCUUCUGAGACACUUCCAUUGGAAGACCCGCUGUGGGGGCAAGCACUUGCCUUUUACCACUGUCCCCAUCGCUUGUUACUGCCUCUCCCUGAGCCUCUGUCUCCUGGCUGAGCCCUGAAGGUAUUAAUACUUAUGA
rnacentral:lncRNA from 1 species